rnacentral:misc_RNA from 1 species
AACGCACAUUGCGCCCAUUAGUAUUCUAGUGGGCAUGCCUGUUCGAGCGUCAUUACAACCCUCAAGCGCUAUAGUGCUUGGUGUUGGGGCAUCUGCUGUAUGUAGCAAGCCCUGAAAGAUAGUGGCGAGGUCGCUGUGACCCUGAGCGUAGUAAUUUACACCUCGCUUCUGUGGUUCGCAGCGGGUUCUCAGCCGUGAAACCCCCAAAUUUUCACAAGGUUGACCUCGGAUCAGGUAGGAAUACCCGCUGAACUUAA